rnacentral:lncRNA from 13 species
AUUCAUCGAAAUGUAUUAAUCCUUUAUUGGCACUGUAUCGGUUGGUGUUGAUUGAAUUAAGAGUGCAGUUGUUACACAACAUUAACAUUGGGAGGUUGAGUCAAGUUACAGUAGGCAAUGCACCCCAAAUGUACUCUCUCCACUGACUAUCAUAUUGAUUUAAAAUCAGUAAUUAUCAACUGGUUUAGGGGACUGUUGUAGAGUCUUUCUCUGGAGUGAUGAAUCACGCUUCACAAUCUGGCAGUCCAACGGACUAAUCUGGAUUUGUUGGAUGCCAGGAGAAUGCUAACUGUAAAGAUUCUGUGCUUCCAACUUUGUGGCAACAGUUUGGGUUGGCCCUUUCCUGUUUCAGCAUGACAAUGCCCCUGUGCACAAAGCAAGGUCUGCACAUAAAUGGUUUGUCGAGAUCUGUGUGGAAGAACUUGACUGGCCUGCACAGAGCCCUGACCUCAUCAAAAACCUUUGGGAUAAAUUGGAACGCCGACUGCGAGCCAGGCCUAAUCGCCCAACAUCAGUGCCCGACCUCACUAACGGUCUUGUGGCUGAAUGGAAGCAAGUCCCUGCAGCAAUGUUCCAACAUCUAGUGGAAAGCCUUCCCAGAAGAGUGGCGGCUGUUAUAUGAGCAAAGGGGAGGACCAACUCCAUAUUAAUGCCCAUGAUUUUGGAAUGAGAUGUUCGACGAGCAGGUGUCCACAUAUGUUUGGUCUUGUUUGAAGGCACAGAUGCAUGCCUGUUAGUUAAUACUAUGUUCACAAAUGUUAUUGUCAGGUUUAUGUACGUCUCUGUUCCUCAGGUGUCAUGCGUGGGCCACAUGGUGUGUGCAGUGGUGGCUGACACCAGGAAGCAGGCUAAGAGAGGGGCGGCUGUAGUGAGAUCGGCAAUGAGGAUCUGCCAGGCCUAGUGUUAACUGUUGAGAAGGCUAUUGAGAAACAGUCCUUCUUUCUGCCCCAGUGUAUGACUUGAUCUAAUGAUAUAUUACAUAUUUAACCCAAAUGUAAUGGUACUCUGUGAAUCCAAACCAUCAUUGAUGUGUUUGUUUGAAUCCCAGCCUGUUCUGAUCUCUCUACCCAGGACUGGUCGGGCUGUGCGUUGUCGGGAGAGAGGAGAGGAAAUACUGAUCACUGGGGCCCGCCACCCUGUCCUGGGCAAACACAAGGAGGGCUUUAUGAACGAUGGGAGGAUAAUGGCUGCUGACCUACAAUAGUAUGCCAACUCUGGAAACACUGCAGAUGAGUCUUUGUUGGUGAGUCACUCUUCUUCUGCCUUUCACCAUUCAAUUCUUAACCCCAAGUCCCAAGUCAUCCUUGAAAUCUAUUACCAGACGCUGUCUCUAUGCUUGUCAUAGGCAGUGUCUGAGCUCUUUGCCCCCUCCCUUUCUCCAGGUAAUAGAGAAUAUUCUCCUUCACCUGGACAACGCGUACAACAUGCCCAACCUUCGCGGUCGCUCGGUGGCGUGUAAAACCAACCUGCCCCCCAACACGGCGUUCCGAGCCUUCAGCGUGCUCCAUAGCAUGCUGGUCACUGAGAACAUGAUCAAUGACACGGCAGGGAGUCUAGUGGUUAGAGCGUUGGACUAGUAACCGAAAGGUUGCAAGAUCGAAUCCCCCAGCUGACAAGGUAAAAAUCUGUCAUUCUGCCUCUGAACAAGGCAGUUAACCCACUGUUCCUAGGCCGUCAUUGAAAAUAAGAAUUUGUUCUUAACAGACUUGACUAGUUAAAUAAAGGUAAAAAAACAAACAUUACGUGGCCAUGAAGUUGGGCUGCAAUGCUGAAGAGGUCAGGGAGGAUAAUGGGGACAGGGAGGAAAGCCAUAUGAAUAGGAUCUAGUUAAUUAUAUUUCUAUGAUAAUAGAAUGGGUGGUACCAGUGCCUUAUAUUGAGAAAUCUAAUUGAUAUUAACAAAAGUCUCUCAAAGUGGGUAGUCUCAUGACAGACAUACUUAAAUAAGUCUAUUCAAAAACGGAUGACGUCGGAGAUUAUUAAGAUGGAUAAAUAGCUGAAUAUGCUAUAAAAUCAAUGUGCUAUAAAUACCUUAUAGAUUUCAUAAAGUACUGUAUACACUUUAUUACACACUUUAUAACACAGUUCUCCUUAAAUAUUUUCUCCUUCUUGAGCAGAUCCGUGAAAUAAACAUGUACAAGGAGGUGUCCCUGAACCUCCUGCGUUGCUAGGACGAAUGCAGGGAGAAGUCUGACGGAAAUCCAUCGCCCAGUUUAACCAGCAGAACCGCUGGAAGAAGAGAGGCAUGGCCACGAUACCCAUUAAGUAUGGCAUCGCAUUCUCAGACGGCUUCCUUAACCAGGUUAGCUUUGCCUUUGCACUGUCAAAUCAGUAAAAAUUCCCUGUCUUAGGUCAGUUAGGAUCACCACUUUAUUAAAAUAAUUUGAAAUGUCAAAAUAAUAGUAGAGAGAAUGAUUUAUUUCAGCUUUUAUUUCUUUCAUCACAUUCCCAGUGGGUCAGAAGUUUACAUACGCUCAAUUAGUAUUUGGUAGGCAUUCUUGCUCGCUCACACUUUUUCAGUUCUGCCCACAAAUUUUCUAUAGGAUUGAGGUCAGGGCUUUGUGAUGGCCACUCCAAUAUCUUGACUUGGUUGUCCUUAAGCCAUUUUGACACAACUUUAGAAGUAUGCUUGGGGUCAUUGUCCAUUUGGAAGACCCAUUUGUGACCAAGCUUUAACUUUCUGACUGAUGUCUUGAGAUGUUGCUUCAAUAUAUCGAUGUGAUGCCAUCUAUUUUGUGAAGUGCACCAGUCCCUCCUG